GUACUUCUACCCGGUUCUCCAGUCAACCCCUGCUUGAUCAUCGUUGCUCCUUACCCGGUCCACUCACCUCCGUCCUCCGCUCCGCCAGCUGGGCUCGCCACCCUACCCUCUCCCCUCGGACCUCUUCCAUGGCGUCCUCCCGGCUCCUCCCCGUGCCUCCUUGCUUCCUCGGUCCCCAGCGCCCCUGGCUCCCUUGUCUCAGUCUCCUCGGUUCCCCGUGCUCGUGUUUCCCCGGCGUCCGUCGCUCCCUCACCUCCACUCCCUCAACCCCGUAUCCCCUUCAAUAAAGCCUGUUCUUCCCCAGA